rnacentral:rRNA from 1 species
GAUGAACGCUAGCGGCAGGCUUAACACAUGCAAGUCGAGGGGUAUAGUAGCAAUACUAGAGACCGGCGCACGGGUGCGUAACGCGUAUGCAACCUACCUUUUACAGAGGGAUAGCCCAGAGAAAUUUGGAUUAAUACCUCAUAGUGUUAUUAGAUGGCAUCAUUUGAUAACUAAAGUUCCAACGGUAAAGAUGGGCAUGCGUCCUAUUAGCUAGAUGGUAAGGUAACGGCUUACCAUGGCUACGAUAGGUAGGGGUCCUGAGAGGGAGAUCCCCCACACUGGUACUGAGACACGGACCAGACUCCUACGGGAGGCAGCAGUGAGGAAUAUUGGACAAUGGGCGCAAGCCUGAUCCAGCCAUGCCGCGUGCAGGAAGAAGCAUCUAUGGUGUGUAAACUGCUUUGUACGGGAAGGAAACACUCCUACGUGUAGGAG